GACAGGACACAUGUCUGUGGAAAUUUCCAUGACUACGCUCGUAAAAAUGUACCCUUGUGACUUGAUUUUAAACAAAUGUUAUGUGCCAAAUUUUGGCUUGUUUAUCAAUGAGGUUGCCAGAGAGGCUUUUGUGGUUGGCUCUUGCACUGAGAUAAAAAUCUGACUUGAGAGCGUCUGAAGAAACUGCUUGCCUUGUGUUUAUGGCACCGAAACAAUCCCCACACCGGUCCAAACUUGCCUUGAUGCCAUUCACCCUGUUUUUAAUCUUUAUCACAGUGAGGGAGAGGACAAGCACUAUGUUCCUUGUAAUUGUGAUUAUCUUUCCAUGAUGCCACAGAUCUCAAGAACAUGGUGAUGGCGCACACUGGGCUACACAGCAAAGUCAACAUAUGCUACAUCACUGCUUCCAGCAUGCUUGACCACACUCAAACAAACUGCAUACAUUCAUUCACAGCCGAGAGGAGCUGCGGUCCAAAACGCAGUGAUCGAAGAACAAAGAGAGCCACUCCAUGGAGAAUAAUUUCACAUUGAGGGGUUUCCUUGCGCCGCUGUAGGAAAUGGCUUUUUGUUUUCAGAGCCCCAGAUUGGCUUUGAAGCGCUGAGCCUCGGGAGAUGCUCUUCACCACAGACUGCACAAUCAGGUCUCCCUCCCUCCCUCCCUCCCUCUCUCUCCUUCGUCCUCAGUCACACGCUCUCACACUCCAACUCGCGGCUCUGCUGAAAACAAAGAUGAUCCCUCCUCUGUCUUUCCUCUGACACCACCAUUGUUGAAGCCUAGAUGUUUACCUGCAUGCGCUGACACUCACUCACCUUCCCUCGCAGUUACGGCGGUGUUCCUGGUGUUGCCACGCUGUCGAGAAACAAACAGAGAAAAGAUCUAUAAUCAACUCCUGAUUCGAUUAUGUGCAUGAAAAGAAUAACAACAACAACAG